rnacentral:rRNA from 1 species
UACGGAGGGUGCGAGCGUUGUCCGGAAUCAUUGGGCGUAAAGGGCGCGUAGGUGGCGCGACAAGCGUGCGGUGAAAGCUCGGGGCUCAACCCCGAGUCGGCCGUGCGAACUGUUGUGCUUGAGCACUGUAGAGGCAGGCGGAAUUCCGGGUGUAGCGGUGGAAUGCGUAGAGAGUCCGGAAGAACACCGGUGGCGACGGCGGCCUGCUGGGCAGUAGCUGACACUGAGGCGCGAAAGCUAGGGGAGCGAACAGG